AGGCAAGAAGUUUAGGGUAUCAAUGAGAUUCAAAAUUAGAAACUAUAAAUUCUAAAAUGAUUUUUUAAAGACGCUAUGACGUUUGAAACUUUUUAUAAAUCCCAUCUCCUCCUACUAAAUAAGUGUUUUCCUCCUGAUCACUGCACUUAAAAUUUUUCAGUAUCUAUUCUCAGUUAACAUGCUCUGACAUCUUUUGGAAAAAGAAUUUCCAAAUGAGGCAUAUAAACACAAUAG